GAGUUUGAUCGUGGCUCAGGAUGAACGCUGGCGGCGUGCCUAAUACAUGCAAGUCGAGCGAACGGACGAGAAGCUUGCUUCUCUGAUGUUAGCGGCGGACGGGUGAGUAACACGUGGAUAACCUACCUAUAAGACUGGGAUAACUUCGGGAAACCGGAGCUAAUACCGGAUAAUAUUUUGAACCGCAUGGUUCAAAAGUGAAAGACGGUCUUGCUGUCACUUAUAGAUGGAUCCGCGCUGCAAUAGCUAGUUGGUAAGGUAACGGCUUACCAAGGCAACGAUGCAUAGCCGACCUGAGAGGGUGAUCGGCCACACUGGAACUGAGACACGGUCCAGACUCCUACGGGAGGCAGCAGUAGGGAAUCUUCCGCAAUGGGCGAAAGCCUGACGGAGCAACGCCGCGUCGAGUGAUGAAGGUCUUCGGAUCGUAAAACUCUGUUAUUAGGGAAGAACAUAUGUGUAAGUAACUGUGCACAUCUUGACGGUACCUAAUCAGAAGCCACGGCUAACUACGUCG
rnacentral:rRNA from 1 species